GAUGAAGAACGUAGCGAAAUGCGAUAAGUAAUGUGAAUUGCAGAAUUCAGUGAAUCAUCGAAUCUUUGAACGCACCUUGCGCUCCUUGGUAUUCCAAAGAGCAUGCCUGUUUGAGUAUCAUUAAAUUAUCAACUGUACCAAUUUGGUUGCAGAUUGGAUGUGGGAGAUUUUGCAGGCUUUUGAUUUCUCUUUGAGAAAACGGUCAGCUCUCCUGAAAUAUAUUAGCAGUGCCUUUGUUGGUUCAUUAGGUGUGAUAAUUUAUCUACAUCUUCACAUGGUACCUUCAUUUGUGUAAAGGUCAUAUUGCUUCUAAUUGUCUUUUGACAUAAAAAAAAAAAAACAUAUAAUUGUAUGGAAAACUUGAUCUCAAAUCAGGCAGGACUACCCGCUGAACUUAAGCAUAUCAAUAAGCGGAGGA
rnacentral:misc_RNA from 1 species